AUUUUCUCUUUGUGGAGGCUGGGUUCGCGUGCUCUUCUGAGCUGUGGUCGUCAUGGACCGGAAGCGUGUGCGGCGCGCCUGCCUUGAGGCCAGCAUCAGGGAAGGGUGUCCCAGGUGCAGGCGAAGCUUCCUUCAGGUGCUCCUGGAGGACUUUUGGCUCGCAAGCGCUUCUCCAUUCUCCCAACGUCUCGGGCCUGAUGUUAUCAUCUCCCUAUCCUUGGCUGCACCUGAAAAGAGCAGGAGCCGGCAGGUAACCCGAUCGCCUCCCCCAGGAGGUGAAGUGAAAUCUGCAAGAGUCCUGCUCGUUCAAGGCCUGCAUACAGGAAAGAAGCAGGGGAAAAGCGUUAGAAACAGCUUUUGUUCUACAGCAUUUUAAAAUAUAAUAGGUAUAUUGAAAAGUCUGAUUCAGUUACAAUCAGUGUAUGGAAUCACAAGAAGAUCCAUAAGAAACAAGGUGCUGGAUUUCUCCGUUGUGUUCGUCUUUUUCCAGUGCCAUCAACCACCUCAAAGACACUGGUUAUCAGAGGUUGGAUUUAUGCAAACUUGGGCCAAAGGACAGUUAGAAGACAGUAGCUGAAGAAGCAUCUGUAGGGAAUCCAGAAGGAGCAUUCAUGAAGAUGUUACAAGCCCGGAAGCAGCACAUGAGCACUGAGCUGACUAUUGAGUCGGAGGCGCCCUCAGACAGCAGUGGCAUCAACUUGUCAGGCUUUGGGAGUGAGCAGCUAGACACCAAUGACGAGAGUGAUGUUAGCAGCGCACUAAGUUACAUCUUGCCUUAUCUCUCACUGAGAAAUCUAGGUGCAGAAUCAAUAUUGUUACCGUUCACUGAACAGCUAUUUUCAAAUGUACAAGAUGGAGAUAGGCUCCUGAGUAUUUUGAAAAACAAUAGAAAGAGCCCCUCACAGUCCAGCCUUCUAGGUAACAAAUUUAAAAACAAAAUAUUUGAAAAAAAAAUUAGAAACUGCGCAACCACAGGAAAACCGCCUGGCAAAGAUUCAAAGUGUAGGCAAAAACCUGCAGAGAGUGAACAGAGUCCUCAUGGGCCCAAGGAGCAUCCAGGAAAGGCACUUCAAAAAGGUGGGAAAGCACAGCACUAGGAAAGAACAGGAUGCCCAGGCAUUUGUGGACAAUGCUGCCAAAGGAAAAAGGCUUGAGGGUCCAGCCCCAAGGGAGCUGGAACAGCCUCACAUAGUGCAGGGGCCUGAGAAGGUAGUGGGAAACACCAUCUACACCAAGCCUUCAUUCACCCAAGAGCAUAAGGCAGCAGUCUCCUCUGUGCUGAAACCCUUCUCCAUGGGCGUGCCUUCUGCCUCUAGCCCUGCAAAAGCCCUACCUCAGGUCAGAGACAGAUCGAAAGACUUAGCCUACACCAUUUUAAUUUUAGAAAUGGCAAUGGCUAGAGUGAAAAACAUGAAGGCUGCUAAACCAAUCACACAUUCCAGAAAAAAAUAGCGCUUUUAUAAAACUCACUCCAUUGUGGCCCACAGAACACCCAAGGCCAAAAAGAUUAGAAAGUUUAGAAAGGGCAGUUAUCUCAACAGACCGAUGCUCGCAAAGAGGCCGCUGUUCUCUGCAGCAAAGAGCCUCAUACAUUCGCAAGGGAUUUUUUCAUCCUUAGGAGACCUGAGUCCUCAAGAAAACCCUCUUCUGGAAGUAGUUGCUCCUUCAGAACGUUUUACAGAAAACACUAAUGUAAAAGACACAACUAAUGUAAAAGACACAAAAGAGAUGUGUUCAAAGACACAUCUCUGAAAACACAAACUACAAUCAUCCUCCUGAGGCAGUUUCCGCUGGGACUGCAUUCAACUUAGAACCAACUGUUAAACAAACUGAGACAAAAUGGGAAUACAACAAUGUGGGCAUUGACUUGUCCCCUGAGCCCAAAAGCUUCAAUUACCCAUUGCUCUCGUCCCCAGGUGAUCAGCUUGAAAUUCAGCUAACCGAGCAGCUACGGUCCCUCAUCCCCAACGAGGAUGUGAGAAAGUUCAUGUCUCAUGUUAUCUGGACCUUGAAAAUGGAAUGUUCAGAAACACAUGUGCAAGGGAGCUGUGCCAAGCUCAUGUCGCGAACAGGCCUCCUGAUGAAGCUUCUCAGCGAGCAGCAGGAAGCAAAGGCAUUGAAUGUAGAAUGGGAUACGGACCAACAAAAAACAAAUUAUAUUAAUGAGAACAUGGAACAGAAUGAACAGAAAGAGCAGAAGUCAAGUGAGCUCAUGAAAGAAGUUCCAGGAUAUGACUAUAAGAACAAACUCAUCUUCGCAAUAUCUGUGACUGUCAUACUAAUAAUUUUGAUUAUAAUUUUUUGUUUUAUAGAGGUAAAGACAAUAAUUAAUUCAGGUUUUCAAAAUACAAUCCUGUGUUUGUGUGGAUUCAGAAUCCACAAACUGAAAACCAACGUCACUUUCCCACUUGACAUUCUUCUUCUGUCAUUUAAGGCUGAGGUGUGCUUUGUUCUUUUACUGCAAUGUAUAUUCCAGGAUUGUUAAAGGAUCCUCGCUUCCAGGAGGUCUCUGUGAAAUAAAACCAAGUUAAUCCCACUAGACUAUUUUAAGAAGUUAAGUUGAUAUAAUAGCAAAAUUUCUCCCACCCAAAACUAUGUCAACAAUUGGAUGUACUCACUGAGUCACCCCUUACUCUGCCACUAAUUUAUUUCCUUGUUGCUUAAAUGAUGAGAGACAUAUAAUCUCCACCCUCACGGAGUUGUCAUCACCCUGGAGAGGAAGAAGACAGCCAAAAGAGAGAAGUAUUGUCUUGUAGACUUACUAGAUUCACAUAGUAUCAUCCUUCUCCAGUGUGUAAGGUGUUGUCUAAAUAGGUCCAGUUAAAGAACUACAGGGUAGCCAUUUUUAAAAAAAAAUUUUGGCCACGUUUUCAAAUUCACAGGGGAGGGGGAAUGUCUCAUACUCCAGCCCUCCUGAGCCUAGGCCCUCUGUGAGAUGUGUCACCAUUUCUUGGACACCAUAUGAGACAUUCCCCCUCGGAUUAGAGAUGCUCAACCUGCAUCAACAAAUCUAAAGCCUGCAUCUGGCUACCCUGGGGCGAGUCCUGUUUACAGUGCCUAUUCCUGGAGCUCGCCUCUUUUUGCCUUUUGUUUGAUUAUGUGAUGUAUUACUUUUCCCAGCAGGCCAGUGCUAGCAUACUGGAAGAGGGAUUUAAUAAGCUGGCACCCUUGAUGCUAUGCUCCUAAUCCAACCUUAUUUGCCUCAUUGGCCAUUUCCAUUAUGGUGGCAGCCCUCCAUUCCAGCCACAGCAGCCCCUCAGCGUCCCCCAGUCACACUGUCCCCAUUGCUGCUCAUCUGUGCCUUUGUCCAUCUACAAUGCCCUUAUUUCACUCUGCCUGUGGGAGUCCUGUGAAUCUCUCCAAAGCCAACUCAGUUCAUCUUUCUGCUUGAAACCUUCCCUGAAUAGGCCAGGUGCGGUGGCUCACGCCUGUAAUCCCAGCACUUUGGGAGGCCAAGGCAGGCGGAUCACAAGGUCAGGAGAUCGAGACCAUCCUGGCUAACACAGACCAUUCUCUACUAAAAAUGCAAAAAAUUAGCUGGGUGUGGUGGCGGGCGUGUGUCGUCCCAGCUACUUGUGAGGCUGAAGCAGGAAAAUGGCAUGAACCUGGGAGGUGGAGCAUGCAGCCAGCCAAGAUCGGGCCGCUGCACUCCAGCCUGGGGGACAGAGCGAGACUCUGCCUCAAAAAAAAAAAAAAAAAGAAACUUCCCUGAAUAUUCCAGCCCUCCUGAGCCUAGUCCCUUUGUGAGAUUUGUCCCCAUUUCUUGGACACCAUAUAAGAGACUUCAGAGGCUGAAGUGGGAGGAUUGCUUGAGCCUGGGAGGUCGAGGAUGCAGUGAGCUGUGGUCAUACCACUGCACUCUAGCCUGGGCAACAGAGCGAGACCUUGUCUCAAAAACAGCCACCACCAAAAACUAUCUUGGGAUUUGAAUAGGAUUACCUUAAAUUUGUAGAUUAAUUUGAGAAUUGACAUCUGUACGACAUUCUAGAACAUGGUAUUUCAUGUCAUGUAUUCAUUUCUUGUUAAUGUCUUUCAGAAGAGUUUUAGGGUUUCCAUCAUAUAGAUCUUACACGUCUUUUGUUAGAUAACAGAUCUUUGUAUUUUUGUUCCUAAAUACUUCAGACAUUUGUAUUGCCAUUGUAAAUGGGAUCUUUCUUCCAUUUUCUAGUUAGUUAUUGGUGGUACAUCUGAAAAGCAUUUGAGGUUUGUGUGCUGCUCUCUUGAUUUUGUUUCUAGCCACCGUACUGAAUUCUCAUAUUACUUCCAGUAAAAUCUUAGUUGAUUCUCUUAGGCUUCUUUGGCUAACAUUUAUUAUUUUAUAUGCAAAUAAUUAUAGUUUUGUCUCUUCCUUUUCAAUACUUACACUCUUUCCUUCCUUUCCUUUCUUUUUUUUUUCUUUCUCAGGGCCUUGUUGUCACCCAGACUGGAGAGCAAUGGUGUGAUCUAGCUCACUGUAACCUCAAACUCCUGGGCUUAAGGGAUCCUCCUGCCUCAGCUUCCUGAGUGGCUGGGACUACAGGCAGGCAGUGAAUUUUAAAACUUUUGGUGUAGAGACAAGAUCUUGCUAUGUUGCCCAGGCUGGUUUUCCUGCCACUUUAGAGCAGGUUUCCUUUUUUUCAUACUUUUAAGAGGUUUUUAUUAGGAAUUGUCCAUUGAAUGUUAGCUAAAACAGUCAAUAAAAUGCGUUAAGUACCAGCUACAUGCAAGACCCUAAGUUAGAUACAGUCAGCCCUCUUCAUCAGCAGGUCCACAUCUUCAGAUUCAACUAGAUAAGGCUGAAUAUUUGAAGAAAAAAACAAUAAAAAUACAAUUAGAAAGUACAGUAUAACAACUGUUGCCAUGAUACAAUAUCUAUACAUUUUAUUAGUGAUGACCUAAAGUUCAUGGGACCAGGCACGGUGACUCACACUUGUAAUCCCAACACUUUGGGAGGCCAACCUGGGCAGCAUAGUGAGACCUUGUCUUUAAUAAAAAUAAAAAUAAAAAAAUUAGCUAGUGUGGUGGUAUGCACCUGUAGUCCCAGCUACUCAAGAGGCUGAGGUGGGCAGAUCACUGGAGCCCAGGAGGUUGCGGCUGCUGUGAGCUGUGAUUGUGACACUGCUCUCCAGCCUGAGUGACAGAGGGUGAUCCUGUCUCUAAGUAAGUAAAUAAAUAAAGUAUAUGGGGGGGAUGUGUGUUGGUUAUAUGCAAACACUGCACCAUUAUACGUAAGGGAUUGAGCAUCCACAGAUUCUGGUAUGGUGUGGAGGCGAUAUCCUAGAACCAGUCGUCUGCAAGGUAGCAAGGAUGACUGAACUGUGGAAGAAUCAAAGCACUGUUAAACAGCAUACAAUUCCUGUCUUCAAAAAAGUUAUCUCAUCGGGUAGAUGAGACUUAAAAUGAAUAAAAGGAAUGAAUACACAUUGGAGAUAGUGGUUGUUGUGAUAGAUAACCUUAAUUGUGUUUUCUUCCAAAACGGGUGAAUUCACAUAAAAGGGCAUCAGAAAAAUACAAAGACAACCCAUCAAUAUCAGGAGCCUGAGCAUGAGUUAAAGCAUGUGGAUGGCCUAGAGCCAUGUUUUUAAAAUUGUUAUUAAAUAUUGGUUUUUUACUUAAAUCAAUGAAAACUUUCUUUACUUUGUGGUUGUGUUCCUCAAAAUGAGAAUUUUUAACAAUAAUAAAAAUAAAGCUUAUUAGAUCAUUUUUAAUGGUAAUAAAUUGGUUACUGAAGAUUUGACUAAAGAGAAAACUAGGCCAAUCUAAGUAGAGUCCAAAUGAAGUAGAAAGUCCAUAGAGAACAGGCAAAAAGGAAGUUGUGGAACCACAGACAGUAAAAGGAAAAAAUUGGCGGGGCGCAAUGGCUCAUACCUGUAAUCCCAGCACUUUGGGAGGCUGAGGUGGGUGGAUCGCUUGAGCCCAGUUCAGGCAACAUGACAAAACCCCCACCUCUACAAAAAAAAUAGUCAACAUGACAAAACCCCCAAUGUCUACAAAAAAAUACACAAAACAUAUGAGCCAGGGGUGGUGGUGUGCACUUGUAGUCCUAGCUACUUGGUAGGCUGAGGUGGGAGUAUCGCUUGAACCUGGGAGGUGGAGGUUGCAGUAAGCUGAGGUUGAGCUGUUAUACCCCAACCUGGGUGACAGUUGAAAGAGUGAGACCCUGUCUUUAAAAAAAAAAAAAAAAGGAAGAAAGCAAAGAAAAAAAAAUUUAUUUUUGUGACAAGUUCUCUUUCUGUCUCCCAAGCUGGAGUGCAAUGGCAUAAUCAUAGCCCACUGCAGCCUCAAACUCCUGGGCUCAAGGCAUCCUCCUGCCAUAAAGGCCUCCCAAAGUGUUGGGAUUACAGGCAUAAGCCACUGUGAGGC
rnacentral:lncRNA from 1 species